AGCGAACGCUGGCGGCAUGCCUAACACAUGCAAGUCGAACGAGACCUUCGGGUCUAGUGGCGCACGGGUGCGUAACGCGUGGGAACCUGCCCUUAGGUUCGGAAUAACUCCCCGAAAGGGGUGCUAAUACCGGAUAAUGUCUUCGGACCAAAGAUUUAUCGCCUUUGGAUGGGCCCGCGUUGGAUUAGCUAGUUGGUAGGGUAAAAGCCUACCAAGGCGACGAUCCAUAGCUGGUCUGAGAGGAUGAUCAGCCACACUGGGACUGAGACACGGCCCAGACUCCUACGGGAGGCAGCAGUGGGGAAUAUUGGACAAUGGGCGAAAGCCUGAUCCAGCAAUGCCGCGUGAGUGAUGAAGGCCUUAGGGUUGUAAAGCUCUUUUACCCGGGAUGAUAAUGACAGUACCGGGAGAAUAAGCACCGGCUAACUCCGUG
rnacentral:rRNA from 1 species